rnacentral:sRNA from 1 species
GUAACGCCUUCAACCGCCCGCCGCGAUAGAGUGCCCACGACCCUGCCUCGGGAAUCCCGCUCUGCACCGCCCCACCAGACCCGGACUCGGAGCCGCGAGCGGCCCGAGAUGAGCAGCAAUGAUUCCUCCCUUAUGGCUGGGAUCAUUUACUAUAGCCAGGAAAAGUACUUCCACCAUGUGCAGCAGGCUGCAGCUGUGGGCCUGGAAAAAUUCAGCAAUGACCCUGUGUUGAAGUUCUUUAAAGCCUAUGGAGUCCUCAAAGAAGGCAAUGUACUUCAUGAUGCAGCAGAACUACUCAGAGGCCCUGGAGGUGGUGAACCAGAUCACUGUGACUUCAGGGAGCUUCCUGCCAGCCCUCGUCCUGAAGAUGCAGCUGUUCUUAGCUCGGCAGGACUGGGAGCAGACAGUAGAAAUGGGACACAGAAUCCUAGAAAAAGAUGAGAGCAAUAUUGAUGCCUGCCAAAUUCUAACUGUGCAUGAGCUUGCAAGAGAAGGAAACAUGACCACAGUAAGUUCUUUGAAGACUCAGAAGGUGAUCCUUGAAACAGAAUCAAGGAGGAACCCUUCAUAACCUGUGCACCUGACCCAAAGCCCUUGUAGGGAGCUCCUGGAUCUCAGCUUCCUCUUUUCUACCCCACCCCUAUACUCGCUGCCAAGGAGGCCUGCUCUGGUUUGACUCUUUGAGUUGUGUAGCUUGGGAGUCAGGCAGUGAGAUUGAUUCUAGGCUCUGCCAUGUGCUGUCUGUGGAAGCCUGGGCAGGUGUCCCCACCUGGAUAAGCCUCAGGCUUCCUGUUUGUAAAAUAGAAUUCCACACAGGACUAAAUGUGAUAAGAAGUGGGAGAGUUUGGAACAGUCCCUGGCACACUACAGUAAUUCCAUCAAUGUUAACUGAUAGUAGAAGUUGUGGUAGUAUUUCUGAAUUCAGGAAAUGCCUUUUUUUUAGGGGAUAGUUGGAACUGCUCAGGCAUUGGCCAGGUAAUACUGGGCCCCAAACAUGCUCGUAAGUCUUGUAGUUUUCCAAAGAAACCAAAAAUAGCCCUCAAAUGCAGUCAGAAACACCUAGAAUUCUUAGUGAAACCUCAAUACCCAGACAGGUUCUCAUUUUCAAAAAGGUUUGUUUUUAGCCAAAGCAUUGCCUUUUAGAUCAGUGAAAUAUAUUGCCUCUAUGGAGAGCAUGGCAAACCAAGAGUCUCUAAGGGGUCAUGGUGGGAAGGGGAAACUUCUGGUUUCUUCUGCACAGCUCUGAGAUUGUGGAUUUUGUGGGAUGGGGUGAGGUAGAGGGGAGAGUCCGUAUUUGGGAGAAAAAGGCCCCAGCCCUUUUCGUCUCUGGGUAGGAAUAACAGAAUAGGACUAUCCUCAGCUCCCUGUGACUCCAGAUCCCUAAGCAGGCCUUCCUGGGGCCUGGCCUGAAAGUUAAUCCCAGGGGCAGACUUAGCAUUUAGCUAACUGAGAUUUAGCAUUAGCCCCUUUUUUACUCCCACUUCAAACCUUGGGACCUACCCACCGACCCCGGGCUGGCUACCCAGUUCUAAUUUUGUUCAUACUUACUGAACAGAGUGGACCCAUACCAUCCUUGGUUUUGCUUUUGGCACUUCUCUGCAGCUGGGAACUAAGAAUUCCUUACUCCUGGGUGGGGAGUGGGAAAGAACCUAAGCUUUGGAAUCUGUCAGUGACCUAGGUGGCUGGGUGACCUCAGACCACUUGCCUAACCUUUCUAACCUUUCAUGUGUUGGACAGGAAGGUUUGGAAAGUUCGAAUAGUUAUACUGACUUACAUUUGAUUCAUGUCAAAAUGGAGCAGAGGCUUCUGGGCCAGCACAGUUAGUUUGCUGCUGGCCUGGCAGGCUGCACUGUGGACACAGUGAGGGCUAGCUCCUGGCUCUACCUGGGUGGGUCUGAAAAGGCAACUUCUCUUCACAAACUCAGGAACAGGGCUACUCUAUGGGUUAGCCCUGCUCCAUAAGGAGCAGUC